CCUUCGGGAUGAGCGGCGGACGGGUGAGUAACGCGUGGGAAUAUGCCCUUCUCUAAGGAAUAGCCUCGGGAAACUGAGAGUAAUACCUUAUACGCCCUUCGGGGGAAAGAUUUAUCGGAGAAGGAUUAGCCCGCGUUAGAUUAGGUAGUUGGUGGGGUAAUGGCCUACCAAGCCUACGAUCUAUAGCUGGUUUGAGAGGAUGAUCAGCCACACUGGGACUGAGACACGGCCCAGACUCCUACGGGAGGCAGCAGUAGGGAAUCUUAGACAAUGGGGGAAACCCUGAUCUAGCCAUGCCGCGUGUGUGAUGAAGGCCUUAGGGUCGUAAAGCACUUUCGCCAGAGAUGAUAAUGACAGUAUCUGGUAAAGAAACCCCGGCUAACUCCGUGCCGGCAGCCGCGGUAAUACGGAGGGGGUUAGCGUUGUUCGGAAUUACUGGGCGUAAAGCGCACGUAGGCGGAUUAGUAAGUUAGAGGUGAAAUCCCAGGGCUCAACCCUGGAACUGCCUUUAAUACUGCUAGUCUUGAGUUCGAGAGAG
rnacentral:rRNA from 1 species